UGGUUUCAGGCAGAGUGUGGAUUUUUUGGACGCAUCCUUGGAUCUGAGGCGUGUUCCCCUCUUUUCCAAGGCAAGGACAAAGCUGGUGCUUAGCUCUGCGCUUGUGUCCAGAGGCAGCAUUAUCCCUUCUGCUCCAAUAUUUCACUGCUAGCAAAGUCGAGGGACUGUGACCUUUGGAUGUUACUGCAAUAAAACCUCACAGCAGUGCCGCUACCAGACAGCUGCGUUGUCCGUGUGCAUCACCAAACUUUCUCGGCUCUUUCAAAAGAAGAAGAGGACGAGGUACCUGACCCCAGACAUGUCUGCAGCCAGAUGGCAAGCCACGGGUGAUUUCAAAAGCAAAGGCAGAAAAUGAGUUAAGGUUUUCCCCUGCUGCCCCUGGGAGUGCUAAUUCACUGCUACUCGGGGAGGAGAACACAAAACAUUAACUUCUUUCCAUCUGACUGAGCUUCACCAACUGCAGCCACGGAAGGCGUGAGCGUGUCUGGAAGCAGGGGGUGCCGUUUGCGGUGCAGGAUGCGUGGCUGGCUAUCUUAUUUCUUCUCUCUGCAGUGAGUUCGUUCCACCUUGGGCAUG
rnacentral:lncRNA from 1 species